AGUGCUCGCAAGAGAGCCGGAACACAGGUGCUGCAUGGCUGUCGUCAGCUCGUGUCGUGAGAUGUUGGGUUAAGUCCCGCAACGAGCGCAACCCUUGUCAUUAGUUGCCAUCAUUUGGUUGGGCACUCUAAUGAGACUGCCGGUGACAAACCGGAGGAAGGUGGGGAUGACGUCAAGUCCUCAUGGCCCUUAUGGGUAGGGCUUCACACGUCAUACAAUGGUCGGUACAGAGGGUUGCCAACCCGCGAGGGGGAGCUAAUCCCACAAAGCCGAUCGUAGUCCGGAUCGCAGUCUGCAACUCGACUGCGUGAAGUCGGAAUCGCUAGUAAUCGUGGAUCAGAAUGUCACGGUGAAUGCGUUCCCGGGUCUU
rnacentral:rRNA from 1 species